UUCGCCCUUAGAGUUUGAUCCUGGCUCAGGACGAACGCUGGCGGCGUGCUUAACACAUGCAAGUCGAACGAAGCUUGAUUUAUGAUUUCUUCGGAAUGAAUAAAGAUAUGACUGAAUGGCGGACGGGUGAGUAACGCGUGAGCAACCUGCCCUUCGGAGGGGGAUAGCGUCUGGAAACGGACGGUAAUACCGCAUAAAGUGUCUUGACCGCAUGAUCGAGAGACCAAAACUGAGGUGCCGAAGGAAUGGGCUCCGCGUUGGAUUAGAUAGGUGGUGGGGUAACGGCCUACCAAGGUCGACGAUCCAUAGCCGGACUGAGAGGAUUGAUCGGCCACAUUGGGACUGAGACACGGCCCAGACUCCUACGGGAGGCAGCAGUGGGGAAUAUUGCACAAUGGGGGAAACCCUGAUGCAGCAACCCCGCGUGAAGGAAGACGGUUUUCGGAUUGUAAACUUCUGUUCUUAGUGAAGAAUAAUGACGGUAGCUAAGGAGCAAGCCCCGGCUAACUACGUGCCAGCAGCCGCGGUAAUACGUAGGUGGCAAGCGUUGUCCGGAAUUACUGGGUGUAAAGGGAGCGCAGGCGGGAAGCCAAGUCAGCUGUGAAAACUACGGGCUUAACUUGUAGACUGCAGUUGAAACUGGUUUUCUUGAGUGAAGUAGAGGUAGGCGGAAUUCCGAGUGUAGCGGUGAAAUGCGUAGAUAUUCGGAGGAACACCGGUGGCGAAGGCGGCCAACUGGGCUUUAACUGACGCUGAGGCUCGAAAGUGUGGGGAGCAAACAGGAUUAGAUACCCUGGUAGUCCACACCGUAAACGAUGAUUGCUAGGUGUGGGGGGUCUGACCCUUUCCGUGCCGCAGCUCACGCAAUAAGCUCUCCACCUGGGGAGUACGACCGCAAGGUUGAAACUCAAAGGAAUUGACGUGGACCCGCACAAGCAGUGGAUUAUGUGGUUUAAUUCGAAGCAACGCGAAGAUCCUUACCAGCACUUGACAUCCAACUAACGAAAUAGAGAUAUAUAAGGUGCCCUUCGGGGAAAGCUGAGACAGGUGGUGCAUGGUUGUCGUCAGCUGGUGUCGUGAGAUGUUGGGCCAAGUCCCGCAACGAGCGCAACCCCUGCCAUUAGUUGCUACGCAAGAGCACUCUAAUGGGACCGCUACCGACAAGGUGGAGGAAGGUGGGGAUGACGUCAAAUCAUCAUGCCCCUUAUGUGCUGGGCUACACACGUAAUACAAUGGCCGUUAACAAAGGGAAGCAAUCCCGCGAGGAGGAGCAAAACCCAAAAAACGGUCUCAGUUCGGACUGCAGUCUGCAACCCGCCUGCACGAAGUUGGAAUUGCUAGUAAUCGCGGAUCAGCAUGCCGCGGUGAAUACGUUCCCGGGUCUUGCACACACCGCCCGUCA
rnacentral:rRNA from 1 species